rnacentral:tRNA from 1 species
GCGGGUGUAGUAUAGCGGCAAUACGCGAGCUUCCCAAGCUUGAGGUGAGGGUUCGACUCCCUCCAUCCGCA